AAUGGAGUUCAGAGGUGUGUCUUCUUUAUUAUAUCCCCCUAUCCUUCAUAUGAAUCUAAAACUCCACCAGAGUCCAUCGUUCCACGGAUUGAAGCAAAAGAUGCUUCAAUCAAAUCUUUUUUGAUUUUUUUUUCUGUUAGAAAAAGAGGAAAUCCCCCCUUUUUCCUUUUAUUCAACAAAUAUUCAAAAAAAUCAAAAAAAAAAAAAUAAGAGACUGGAAAUGAAAGUAGCAUUCUCGCAUCGAUUCUCCGUCACGCUGUCGGAACAAAAUUAUCGGAUGCAGUGAUAUAGAAAUGUUUGGUACAUGAAGCCACAUCUGAUAGAUAUACAUCGAAAUCUACUUACAUAGAAAUUCAUCUUGAUCCCUAAUCAAAGAAAGAUAGGAAAUGGCUCUUUUGGUGUGACUUGG